UAUUUUAUAGUUUAAAUUAAAAUAUUAAAUUGCAAAUUUAAAGUAAUUUUUUAAAAAAAAUUAAAAUAU
rnacentral:tRNA from 1 species